AUAAAAUAUUUUUUUAAAAAGAAUUUCAAAAAUAUAUUUAUAGUUUUAUAUUUAAAACCUCAAAUCAUCGAAUGCAGAGCAGAUCCGGGUCAAAUGAAUUUAUGCCGAGCCAAAAUAAAAAAUCUGAGCUGUUCAUAAUAUUUUGCAUAGUAUCAAAGACACUAGGUGUUGAUAUGAACUUUAACUAUUACAGGGAAAAGAAAAUAGAAAAG